GAUGAACGCUGGCGGCGUGCCUAAUACAUGCAAGUCGAGCGAACAGACGAGGAGCUUGCUCCUCUGACGUUAGCGGCGGACGGGUGAGUAACACGUGGAUAACCUACCUAUAAGACUGGGAUAACUUCGGGAAACCGGAGCUAAUACCGGAUAAUCUAUUGAACCGCAUGGUUCAAUAGUGAAAGACGGUUUUGCUAUCACUUAUAGAUGGAUCCGCGCCGCAUUAGCUAGUUGGUAAGGUAACGGCUUACCAAGGCAACGAUGCGUAGCCGACCUGUGAGGGUGAUCGGCCACACUGGAGCUGAGACACGGUCCUGACGCCUACGGGAGGCAGCAGUAGGGAAUCGGACGCAAUGGGCGAAAGCCUGACGGAGCAACGCCGCGUGAGUGAUGAAGGUCUUCGGAUCGUAAAACUCUGUUAUUAGGGAAGAACAAAUGUGUAAGUAACUAUGCACGUCUUGACGGUACCUAAUCAGAAAGCCACGGCUAACUACGUG
rnacentral:rRNA from 1 species